rnacentral:ncRNA from 1 species
UCACCAGCGGUUAAAUUUAGCAUACCUUCUGGACCCGUCUUGAAACACGGCCCAAGGAGUCUAUCUAGUAUGCAAGUAAAUGAGUAUAUAAAACUUAUUUGCAUAAAAAACUUGACUGUUUA